AUUGAACGCUGGCGGCAGGCCUAACACAUGCAAGUCGAGCGAGCGGCGGACGGGUGAGUAAUGUAUGGGGACUGCCCGAUAGAGGGGGAUAACACCUGGAAACGGUAGCUAAUACCGCAUACUAUCGGAUAACCCAUAUGGGAUUAGCUAGUAGGUGAGGUAAUGGAUCACCUAGGCGACGAUCCCUAGCUGGUCUGAGAGGAUGAUCAGCCACCCUGGGACUGCGACACGGCCCAGGCUCCUACGGAUGCAGCAGUGGGGAAGAUUGCACAAUGGGGGCAAGCCUGAUGCAGCCAUGCCGCGUGUAUGAAGCAGGCCCUAGGGUGGUAAAGUACUUUCAGUCGGGAGGCGUUACCGACAGAAGAAGCACCGGCUAACUCCGUGCCAGCAGCCGCGGUAAUUC
rnacentral:rRNA from 1 species